AUUCAAAAAUGGUAUAUGAGAGAUGUAAAUAGCUGCAUGUAGGUCUAUAGAUCAGUUAGCCCUGAAAACUUUCCCAUUUCCCUAAUAAAGGAUUUAGCACCUAAUUAAGAUCUAACUAUCAUCUUCACUUCCAUGGCUUAUCUAUUAGAAAACAGAGGCUCCCCCCGGACUAAUCCAUCAUGCAUAUACAUGUCACACUCAAACCUGUUGCAUUAAUCUGCCAGAAAACAACCCUAAAAAUCUCCAUCUGCACUCUGCUUAUCUGACAAAUGGUGAAACAGAGAAAUAAGGAGUCUCGACAAACAAAAACCAAGCAGCGACUGGGCUGCUCUUCAAAGACGGCAACUCUUUGAUCAUGCACAGCCGAGCACUUUGAACGCAGAGGAACAAACACGAGCACUAAAUUUGAACUGAAGUGACAAAUUCUUCAAGCAGCUCUGACGCAUAGCCAGCGGGGGGCAUUACUUUGUAUAACUUUUUUUGUUAUUUGUAUGUAUGGGGGGCUUUUUGUCUGUAAUUGAUCUCAACAUGCUUGAAAUGACAAAAUUACGCACGACAACGACAGAGAUUAAAGCAGCAGAGGAUGGACUUUUAUAUACUUUCAUGAAGGCGCACGAGCAUGUGGGAUAAGGAAAAAAUAUUAUGUUAUUCUUGUAAAAGACUGAAGAGAGAGUAAGGCUGAUUGAGCAUGAAAGAGUGAAGAAAACAACAUCCCUUAAAUAAAAGUAAUCAGUUUGUCCACA